CAGCGGAGCAUGUGGUUUAAUUCGAAGCAACGCGAAGAACCUUACCAAGACUUGACAUCCCCUGACAGCUGUUGAAAGGCAGUGUCUCUUCGGAGCAGGGAGACAGGUGGUGCAUGGUUGUCGUCAGCUCGUGUCGUGAGAUGUUGGGUUAAGUCCCGCAACGAGCGCAACCCUUAUCCUUAGUUACCAGCACGUAAAGGUGGGGACUCUAGGGAGACCGCCGGGGACGACUCGGAGGAAGGUGGGGACGACGUCAAAUCAUCAUGCCCCUUAUGUCUUGGGCUACACACGUGCUACAAUGGCCGCAACAGAGGGAAGCGAGAGCGCAAGCUGGAGCAAAACCCUAAAAAGCGGUCCCAGUUCGGAUUGUGGGCUGCAACCCGCCCACAUGAAGUCGGAGUUGCUAGUAAUCGCGAAUCAGCAUGUCGCGGUGAAUGCGUUCCCGGGCCUU
rnacentral:rRNA from 1 species